rnacentral:rRNA from 1 species
GAUGAACGCUGACAGAAUGCUUAACACAUGCAAGUCAAACUGUGGCGGACGGGCGAGUAACGCGUAAAGAACUUGCCUCACAGAUAGGGACAACAUUUGGAAACGAAUGCUAAUACAUGACACUGUGGGAGAGCUUUGCGUCCCAUUAGCUAGUUGGAGAGGUAACGGCGCACCAAGGCGAUGAUGGGUAGCCGGCCUGGGAGGGUGAACGGCCACAAGGGGACUGGGACAGGGCCCUUACGCCUACGGGAGGCAGCAGUGGGGGAUUGUGGACGAAGGACCAAAGUCUGAUCCAGCAAUUCGGUUUGCAAAAUGCUGUUUUCGGAAUGUAAAGUGCUGUCAGUUGGGAAGCAGUACCAACAGAAGAAGUGACGGCUAAAUACGUGCCAGCAGCCGCGGUAAUUC